GUGGGGAAUAUUGCACAAUGGGCGCAAGCCUGAUGCAGCAACGCCGCGUGAGGGACGACGGCCUUCGGGUUGUAAACCUCUUUUAGCAGGGAAGAAGCGAAAGUGACGGUACCUGCAGAAAAAGCACCGGCUAACUACGUGCCAGCAGCCGCGGUAAUACGUAGGGUGCAAGCGUUAUCCGGAAUUAUUGGGCGUAAAGAGCUCGUAGGCGGUCUGUCGCGUCUGCUGUGAAAACUGGAGGCUCAACCUCCAGCCUGCAGGGGGUACGGGCAGACUAGAGUGCGGUAGGGGAGAUUGGAAUUCCUGGUGUAGCGGUGGAAUGCGCAGAUAUCAGGAGGAACACCGAUGGCGAAGGCAGAUCUCUGGGCCGUAACUGACGCUGAGGAGCGAAAGCGUGGGGAGCGAACAGGAUUAGAUACCCGAGUAGUCC
rnacentral:rRNA from 1 species